CCUGGUGGAGAGGUAAAAUCCGUAGAUAUCAGGAGGAACACCCGUGGCGUAGGCGGCUUCCGAACCUAUUCCUGACACUCAGGGACGAAAGCUAGGGGAGCAAACAGGAUCAGAUACCCUGGUAGUCCUAGCUGUAAACGAUGAAUACUAGAUAGUGGGUGCUACACCGUACUCACCGUCGUAGCUAACGCGUUAAGUAUUUCGCCUGGGAACUACGAUCGCAAGUUUGAAACUCAAAGGAAUUGACGGGUCCCCGCACAAGCAGCGAGGCAUGUGGCUUAAUUCGAUGCAACACGAAGAACCUUACCUGGACCUGACAUGUUUCUGAAAGGCCGGAGAAACCCGGUCCCUUCCAGUUUACUGGAACAGUUUCACAGGUGGUGCAUGGUUGUCGUCAGCUCGUGUCGUGAGAUGUAAGGUUAAGUCCUUAAACGAGCGUAACCUUUGUCAUUAGUUGCCACCGGUUCGGCCGAGCACUCUAAUGAGACCGCUAGCGACAAGCUAGAGGAAGAUGGAGAUGACGUCAAAUCCUCACGUCCCUUAUGUCCAGGGCCGCACACAUGCGACAAUGGUAGAGACAGCGGGUUGCGACGGGGUAACCCUGAGCUAAUCCAUAAACUCUGCCUCAGUACAGAUCGAGGGCUGAAAUUCGACCUCGUGAAGAUGGAGUUGCUAGUAAACGCAGGUCAGCUAUACUGCGUUGAAUACGUUCCCGGGGAUUGUACACACCGCCCGUCACACCACCCGAGUCGUGUGCACCCGAAGU
rnacentral:rRNA from 1 species